AAAUUUGCUGUAGGUAUUACAUUUUUAGAUGUGUGUGUUUAAUAAUGCCAGUGAAAAAGCACAUACUAACAUUAGCGGGGAAUUAUUUGGGCGAGAACUAAGGUUAUAGUAGAGCUAGCUAACAUUAACUGCGAGCUAGCUAAUGUUAACGAGGAGAGAACUUAGGUUAGCGGAGUUAACAUUAGCGGCGAGUUAGCUACGUCACCAGGGAGAAAACUAGGGUUAGCGGAGAGCCAGCUUACAUUAGCGUUGAGCUAGUGAACAUGCUAACAUGUUCUACAUCACAAUGGAACAAAAUUGAAAAAGAAAACUGCUAACAAAUGGGAAACUUUAAGUUAUAAUUUUCAAUACAAUAAUUUAGUUUUUACUUAAGAAGUUAUUACUACAUUUUUGGGCCUUACAUUAUUUUUAUAGAGGUGUUAAAAAGUUAAAUUUGACACUUAAAAGUAACAGGAGCAAGAACUCUGUUAAAGAGCUAAAUAUUUUUUGAAUAUUGGGACUAGAGUAAUAAUAAUCUGUAUAUUUAUUUAUUUAUAAAGCACUUCUCAUACAUAAAAUGCAGCUUAAAGUUUUUACAACAUACAGUCAUUAGAAACGAUUGAGCAAAGCAAAAAAUAUAAACUCUAAGCUGAAGCGUCCCAUCCUCCUCUGGUCAAAACCUGAAAAAAACAAAACAGAACUUUUUACAAUGGUCUGUAACUGGUCUUAAUUAAGAUAAAUUAAGCUAUAAAUAUUUAACUAUACAAAUAAAUGGUUACUUAAACAGCAAAACAGUUCAUUAAACAAAUACAUAGUUAAUUAAAGUCUAAUGGUAAAUAUAAAAGUAUAAAGUUAACUUGACUUUAAAAAUAUAAUGUAAACUUAUCAGUAAUAAUUAGACAUAUAAAGAUUCAUAAAUAAAGGAUACAGGUGCAUCAGAUGCGACAUCUCUUGCGAGGUGGUGUGCAGUCGUCCUCAGGGAGAGCGAUGCUGUGGCCCCUCGGCUUGUUGUCCCUGUCUGGUCGAGGCUCCAGCUGUCUGCAGGCAGAUGGGCGGUACCCUGGUCUUCAGGUAGGCUCUCCACAGCAGAUCCAUGUAGCACAGGUGGGCAACAUGGCUGCUCAGACGCCACUCCCAGUACUCAGCUCUGUCCUCCCACACCAGGGGGAAGAAAAGGGGGUAGAGCAGACCUGCAGAUAAACAGAAAAACAGAAAGAAUCCUCAUCAGUUCUGCUCAAACCCUCCACACGCACUCACUGUUCUAUCAGGUACAACUUCACAUGUACAUCCUCUAUAUACAGAUCUGAUUUUUUUAUGUGCUGCAGAUAGUUCUGUUCUAUUGGUAAUAUUCACUAAUGAGAAACUCACCGACAGCUGGGAGGUAGAGGCACUGAGCAAAUCCAUCCGUCCUAAGGAGUGGAAAGGAUGGACAGAGAAACACCAAAGCCUCCACUGGAGCAAAUCCAGAUCCUGGAUCCGGUGUUCUGUCGAGUUAUGCUACCCAUCGAUACGUGCUCUCAAAAGACACUGCGCAUGCGUGGACCUGCAUUUGAUUAUUUCUUGUGUUUUUUUUUUUUUUUAUAUAUAAAUCAAUUUUUUCGUUGAUUUAGCAACCUAGACUCACUGUCAUUGCACAAAAGUGUAAAUUAAAAUUAAUAAUAAUAAAUACAAUUGUUAUUAUUAUUUUUUUUUAUUACGAAAGCUGUUUGUAAUGACCUCUCACUGCCAUAACUUUACUUUGAUGCAGUGAUUUAUGCUAUCCAAAUAUACUAACCCACAUCUACUGGGACUUCUACUGGUAACAUGCUCUAAUAUGGUGUUUCUUUAGUAUUUUUUACAGUUAAAUAUACACUAGGGUAGAACACCAACUCGACUGAACACCUAUUCAUUCAUCCAUUUAUAUAUUUAUUUAUUUAUUUAUAUACUUUAUUACAUUUCUGGUUGGUGUGAAAUGAAGUAAAGCCACUGCUAAAAUACUAUCCUGCAUUGCUCUGUGAACUCACUAGAGGUCGCCAUUUCUUCUUUUAUCUACUUUGUGGUUGCUCAUUCAGGAUUGAGUAGGUUGAAUAUUGUUUUAACUCUAUAAAGGCAUCAUCAUAAAUACAUACAACAUUAGCUCUAAUAAAAAUGAAGGCGAUAAUGCACACUGGCAUUCUGUGCUCACAGGAAAAGACUGUGCUUAAUAUUAAAUAAUUAUUUUGUCCACAUAAAUGGUCACUUCUGGACAGACCCACUCACUCAAUCAUAAAUGUUCUGUGGCAUAUUUUUUAAUGGGAUAAUCUAGUCAUUAGGAUCUAAAGAUGAGUCUAAUUCAGAAAUAAGUCUGCAAUAAAUAAAAGCUAUUCAACAGGGUUGAGUAUUUGACUUCAGUAUGUUAUGUGAAGUUACUUGGACUUGGAACUAUAAACAGCAGUUAAAAUGAACCAAUUGUAAUUUUCUCACCAAAUCUUAUUUUUUUUUUUUUAUGGCUGUUCAAACAUUUUCUUGUUUGAUAAUGUGACCUAUAGAUGAAAUUGGUCUGAAGAGUUUACACUCCUAAACUGAUAUAGAUAUGCAAAAGGAGCAAUGUUUCACUUUAAGUUUUGGUUUCAUCUUCAAACUCACUAUUAAAAAGGCAGAUUGUUCAGAUACAUCCACAUCUUUGGUUUGUGUCCUUUGCUUCUUUAUACUUCAAAGUUUUUUUUUUUUUUUUUUUUUUUUUUUUUUUUUUUUUUUUUUUUACUUUUUUUU